UGAUGACGUAUUUCACCUUUUUAUGGGAAUGCAGUGUCGUAGGAUAUACCCUGCUGCUUAGCCUGAUUGAAUACAAGACUCUUGUGAUGCGAGGCGAUUUGGAUAGAGCCAAUCAGAUUUUACCUACAAUUCCUAAAGAGCAGCAUAACAAUGUUGCUCAUUUCUUGGAAUCUCGGGGAAUGAUUGAAGAUGCUUUAGAAAUUGCAACAGAUGCUGACUACAAAUUUGAUCUGGCCAUACAACUGGGUAGACUUGAAAUGGCAAAGGAAAUCGCUGAAGAAGUACAGAGCGAGUCUAAAUGGAAGCAGUUAGGAGAGUUAGCCAUGUCCUCUGGGAAGCUUCAACUGACCGAGGAUUGCAUGAAGUACGCUAUGGAUUUGAGUGGUUUGUUACUACUAUAUUCUUCUUUGGGAGAUGCUGAAGGGGUGUCAAAACUUGCAUGCCUUGCUAAGGAACAGGGGAAGAACAAUGUUGCCUUUCUUUGCUUAUUUACGCUGGGUAGAUUGGAAGAUUGUCUGCAGUUAUUGGUAGAGAGUAACCGGAUACCAGAAGCUGCUCUGAUGGCACGAUUUUAUCUUCCAAGCAAAGUUUCUGAGAUAGUAGCUCUUUGGAGGGAAGAUCUCAGCAAGGUUAAUUCAAAAGCAGCAGAAUCAUUAGCUGAUCCGGAGGAGUACCCAAAUCUUUUUGAGGAUUGGCAAGUUGCUCUUUCUGUUGAAGGAAACACUGCAAAGACAAGGGGAGUUUACACUGCUGCAGAAAAUUAUCCAUCCCAUGCCGAUAAAUCUUCCAUUACCCUCGUGGAAGCCUUUAGAAACCUGCAAGUGGAAGCAGAGGAAUCACUUGAAAAUGGAGACGUCGAUCACGAGGUAGCAGAAGAGAACGGUCAUGUAGAGAAUGAAGGAGAUGAAGAGGAACAACAGGAAAAUCACUCCCUUUUUUUUUUGGAAGAAGAGGGAGUUGUGGAUGCAGACUCUACGGAUGGUGCUGUACUUGUUAAUGGAAGUGAGGGUGAGGAAGAGUGGGGUACGAAUAACAAAGGAAACCCAUCAGCCUAAUAAGCAAAAGUCAGUCCAAGAUCAAUGUUGAAUAGUCGAAAUUUUUGUCUAUGUGCUGACGCCAGAUCCCUAGAGCUAGUUCCAGUAGCCGCCACCAAUACUCCAAGGAAUGAAUUCUUGGUGGAGGGAGAUGAAGGAAAAAAAAGAAAGAUUGGGAUUGGGUGUGUGGGUUAAGGAAAUUGUAGUUGAUUUGUGUGGUUUAUUGGGAUCCCAGGUGGUGGUGGUAUUACGGUUUUCAUACAAUGAUUAAAAAGCACAUUAUAGAGUUUUACAUUCCUCUGCUAUAUAGAUUUUCAUCAGCUCAUGUUUACA